UACGUAGGGGGCGAGCGUUGUUCGGAAUUAUUGGGCGUAAAGGGUGCGUAGGCGGCCUGACAAGUCUGAUGUGAAAUCCCUGGGCUCAACCCAGGGCCUGCAUCGGAAACUGUCGGGCUUGAGUAUGGGAGAGGUGAGUGGAAUUUCCGGUGUAGCGGUGAAAUGCGUAGAUAUCGGAAGGAACACCUGUGGCGAAAGCGGCUCACUGGACCAUUACUGACGCUGAGGCACGAAAGCUAGGGGAGCAAACAGG
rnacentral:rRNA from 1 species